GAGUGCCUACGGGGCGCAGCAGUGGGGAAUAUUGGGCAAUGGGCGCAAGCCUGACCCAGCGACGCCGCGUGAAGGAAGAAGGCUUUCGGGUUGUAAACUUCUUUUCUCAGGGACGAAGCAAGUGACGGUACCUGAGGAAUAAGCCACGGCUAACUACGUGCCAGCAGCCGCGGUAAUACGUAGGUGGCAAGCGUUAUCCGGAUUUACUGGGUGUAAAGGGUGCGCAGGCGGCUCUGCAAGUCAGGCGUGAAAGCUAGGGGCUCAACCCCUAAAAUGCGCUUGAAAAUG
rnacentral:rRNA from 1 species